rnacentral:rRNA from 1 species
UACGUAGGGGGCAAGCGUUGUCCGGAUUUAUUGGGCGUAAAGAGCGUGUAGGCGGUUUGGUAGGUCCGCUGUGAAAACUCGAGGCUCAACCUCGAGACGCCGGUGGAAACCAUCAGACUAGAGUCCGGAAGAGGAGAGUGGAAUUCCUGGUGUAGCGGUGAAAUGCGUAGAUAUUGGGAGGAACACCAGUGGCGAAGGCGACUUUCUGGACGAUAACUGACGCUGAGGCGCGAAAGCGUGGGGAGCAAACAGG